GAUAGGGGUUCUGAGAGGAAGGUCCCCCACAUUGGAACUGAGACACGGUCCAAACUCCUACGGGAGGCAGCAGUGAGGAAUAUUGGUCAAUGGGCGAGAGCCUGAACCAGCCAAGUAGCGUGAAGGAUGACUGCCCUAUGGGUUGUAAACUUCUUUUAUAAAGGAAUAAAGUCGGGUAUGGAUACCCGUUUGCAUGUACUUUAUGAAUAAGGAUCGGCUAACUCCGUGCCAGCAGCCGCGGUAAUACGGAGGAUCCGAGCGUUAUCCGGAUUUAUUGGGUUUAAAGGGAGCGUAGAUGGAUGUUUAAGUCAGUUGUGAAAGUUUGCGGCUCAACCGUAAAAUUGCAGUUGAUACUGGAUAUCUUGAGUGCAGUUGAGGCAGGCGGAAUUCGUGGUGUAGCGGUGAAAUGCUUAGAUAUCACGAAGAACUCCGAUUGCGAAGGCAGCCUGCUAAGCUGCAACUGACAUUGAGGCUCGAAAGUGUGGGUAUCAAACAGGAUUAGAUACCCUGGUAGUCCACACGGUAAACGAUGAAUACUCGCUGUUUGCGAUAUACAGCAAGCGGCCAAGCGAAAGCGUUAAGUAUUCCACCUGGGGAGUACGCCGGCAACGGUGAAACUCAAAGGAAUUGACGGGGGCCCGCACAAGCGGAGGAACAUGUGGUUUAAUUCGAUGAUACGCGAGGAACCUUACCCGGGCUUAAAUUGCAGAUGAAUUACGGUGAAAGCCGUAAGCCGCAAGGCAUCUGUGAAGGUGCUGCAUGGUUGUCGUCAGCUCGUGCCGUGAGGUGUCGGCUUAAGUGCCAUAACGAGCGCAACCCUUGUUGUCAGUUACUAACAGGUUCCGCUGAGGACUCUGACAAGACUGCCAUCGUAAGAUGUGAGGAAGGUGGGGAUGACGUCAAAUCAGCACGGCCCUUACGUCCGGGGCUACACACGUGUUACAAUGGGGGGUACAGAGGGCCGCUACCACGCGAGUGGAUGCCAAUCCCCAAAACCUCUCUCAGUUCGGACUGGAGUCUGCAACCCGACUCCACGAAGCUGGAUUCGCUAGUAAUCGCGCAUCAGCCACGGCGCGGUGAAUACGUUCCCGGGCCUUGUACACACCGCCCGUCAAGCCAUGGGAGCCGGGGGUACCUGAAGUGCGUAACCGCGAGGAGCGCCCUAGGGUAAAACUGGUGACUGGGGCUAAGUAAG
rnacentral:rRNA from 1 species